CAUCCAUCGCAUCCACCCCAUCUACUCCAUCUCCCACCACAAGCCCAGCGGAUGCUCCCGCCGGCGGCGGCGCCACCACCACCACCGCCACACCCAGCCCAUCCGCCGUGGCGCCGGGGGUGCUAGCCAGCUUCUGCUCGCCGCAGCUCCUCCGUUCCGCCGUCCCGGAAGCGGGGCGCAUGGCCGAGGCCCUCCUGCCCGGACGCUUCGUCGCCGCGCCCUCCUCGUCCCCUUCGUCGCCGCACUGCUGGGCCCUCUCCCCCGCCCCAGCCUCGCGCCGGCCGCGCUUCCCGGUCCCGCCCCCGCCCUGGAGGCAUCGCAGCCUCAAGGCCCAUGCAGUCGUCUCAGACAAAAGUGAGCAACCACAAUGGUGGGAGAAGAAUGCUGGUCCAAAUAUGAUCGACAUUCACUCCACACAAGAGUUCCUGGAUGCACUGAGGGAUGCAGGUGACAGGCUUGUAAUAGUCGAGUUCUAUGGAACUUGGUGUGGUUCUUGCCGGGCACUCUUCCCAAGGCUCUGCAGAACUGCCGUGGAGAAUCCUGACAUCUUGUUCUUAAAAGUAAACUUUGAUGAAAAUAAACCUAUGUGCAAACGAUUGAAUGUGAAAGUCCUUCCUUACUUCCAUUUUUAUCGUGGAGCCGAUGGCCAAUUGGAGGCCUUCUCAUGUUCCUUAGCUAAGUUUCAGAAGCUGAAGGAUGCCAUUGCUGUUCACAAUACUGCUCGUUGUAGCAUCGGUCCACCUGCCGGAGUUGGGGACGUGCUGGACAGCCCGGAGGAGAAACCAGCAGAAGCCAGCCCCAGGUCUCGUCAGACUCUACAACUUAUAUAAGGUGUUUGUAGCCCCAAUUGCACUGCCUGCAGGCUCGGCUAUGCCUGGUUUAAGAGGCCAAGUGGUUUUUAUAUGCGAGAAGAGGUUUUUAUGUUGAAGUGGAGUAUGGAGGGAGGAAGGAGGAAGGGGGGCAUUUAACUUUUUGCCACUAUUAGAAUGGCACAUAAUAUAUUUGUCAUCCGCUGUCUAUGAUACGUGGGUCCUUAUGUGUCUAUGACAUAUGGGCCCAGUGGUAAAUGUGUUAGUACCAUUUCUAAGAGUGGCAAAAAAUUAAUUAUUCCGGAGGAAGAAGGAUGAGACUACCUCUUACUGUUUAAGUAGUUAAUAUGAUACUAGAGGCUCCAUAUAGCUUGUGCUUCUCAUUUUGAACAAAUGAGAACAAAUUGGAUGAUAUAAUGACAUAACAGAUUACAGAGGUUGACUAAUUCAAAGAUGUCUUUG